AAAGGAGCAAUCCGCUUUGAGAUGGCCUCGCGUCCGAUUAGCUAGUUGGUGAGGUAACGGCCCACCAAGGCGACGAUCGGUAGCCGGACUGAGAGGUUGAUCGGCCACAUUGGGACUGAGACACGGCCCAGACUCCUACGGGAGGCAGCAGUGGGGAAUAUUGCACAAUGGGGGAAACCCUGAUGCAGCGACGCCGCGUGGAGGAAGAAGGUCUUCGGAUUGUAAACUCCUGUUGUUGGGGAAGAUAAUGACGGUACCCAACAAGGAAGUGACGGCUAACUCUGUGCCAGCAGCCGCGGUAAUACAGAGGUCUCAAGCGUUGUUCGGAAUCACUGGGCGUAAAGCGUGCGUAGGCUGUUUCGUAAGUCGUGUGUGAAAGGCGCGGGCUCAACCCGCGGACGGCACAUGAUACUGCGAGACUAGAGUAAUGGAGGGGGAACCGGAAUUCUCGGUGUAGCAGUGAAAUGCGUAGAUAUCGAGAGGAACACUCGUGGCGAAGGCGGGUUCCUGGACAUUAACUGACGCUGAGGCACGAAGGCCAGGGGAGCGAAAGGGAUUAGAUACCCCUGUAGUCCUGGCAGUAAACGGUGCACGCUUGGUGUGCGGGGAAUCGACCCCCUGCGUGCCGGAGCUAACGCGUUAAGCGUGCCGCCUGGGGAGUACGGUCGCAAGAUUAAAACUCAAAGAAAUUGACGGGGACCCGCACAAGCGGUGGAGUAUGUGGCUUAAUUCGAUGCAACGCGAAGAACCUUACCUGGGCUUGACAUGUAAUGAACAACAUGUGAAAGCAUGCGACUCUUCGGAGGCGUUACACAGGUGCUGCAUUGCCGUCGUCAGCUCGUGUCGUGAGAUGUUUGGUUAAGUCCAGCAACGAGCGCAACCCCUGUUGCCAGUUACCAGCACGUGAAGGUGGGGACUCUGGCGAGACUGCCCAGAUCAACUGGGAGGAAGGUGGGGACGACGUCAGGUCAGUAUGGCCCUUAUGCCCAGGGCUGCACACGUACUACAAUGCCCAGUACAGAGGGGGCCGAAGCCGCGAGGCGGAGGAAAUCCUAAAAACUGGGCCCAGUUCGGACUGUAGGCUGCAACCCGCCUACACGAAGCCGGAAUCGCUAGUAAUGGCGCAUCAGCUACGGCGCCGUGAAUACGUUCCCGGGUCUUGCACACACCGCCCGUCA
rnacentral:rRNA from 1 species